GUGUCGUCCAAAUCUGGUGCCAGAAGACUCGGUAAGACCAGAGACGCAAACGUUAAUCAUCUUAAACAGGCGUAAAGGGUUUGUAGGCAGCUUCCAGAAGGACUAUGAAUAAUCAAAUAAAGUCGUCUAAUUGGAAGCUAGAAUCAAAUGGAGGUUAUAGUGUAUAACGCUUAGAGGAGGGCUGAUAUCCUUAGAUCCUAAGCAGAAUACUCAGGGCGAAGGCCACUUUCCACUAAUGAUUGACGCUGAGAAACGAAGGUUAGGGUAGGAAAUAGGAUUUUAAAAUGCGACCUGAAAGUUUAUUUAAGUAUUGUGGAGUUACUCCAUCAAAAUAUUCCAUCUUAUUUGAGCUCCUCUUAAUAGACUAGAUUGGUAACAAUUUAGUUUAAAGCUUAAGAAAAGAGCUGUUUCCUAUGGUUAGAGAAAUCGAAUCUAUGUAGUAAAGGUUUAAUAAUAGGUAUAAUCACGAGUCCUUGGUGAGUAUAAGAUGGACAAAUCGUUAUUAAAUCAAAGUAGGAACCUAAGGGAAACUAAACGUACUUAAAUAGGAACAGGAAAACUCCUUUAAUCUGCUUAAAAAGCAAGGAAAUAGGCAACUAUUUUUAAUA
rnacentral:rRNA from 1 species